CGCUCGCCAGCCUCUCCACACGGUAAAGAAAACAAAAAAAAAACGACAAAAAUGGCUAAGAAAGCAUCGCAAGACUCGUAGCAACGUAUGCGUAUUGCUUGUGUGGCAACGAUGUGUGCGCUGUAACUCGUUUCGCUCGCCUCCCUCGAAGCUGCGAGGCGAAUUAAUUGUCGCUACGUCGGGAAUAUGUGCCCGUGAAAGUGUGUUUUGAUUCGCGCGCGAAUCGGAGGAUACCGUUGAUCGGGACGCAAUGGCAGAGGGUCAUAGGCCUGAGGCUGGACAGCAGAGGAGCUCCAAGAUUGCCCGUUUCAUACCAAGACCACAGCGUGUCAUUGCAAAGAAACUAGAAGACUUCACUUCACUCCUCCCCAAAGCUUCUUCGAGCCUUUCACCAGAACCUGAACCGCUUCUACAGACCUCCUCUGGUUCAUUAAAUCGUAGGAGCGCAAAAGUACCAGUUCAUGAGGCGUUCAGAAGAACCCAUAAAUACCUCAAGAUUGGAGAUCGUGUGUCCAUAGGAGAUUCAAAACUCGGUAUACUUCAGUACUACGGAGAGACACACUUUGCCGAAGGAGUACUGUGUGGCAUUGAGCUUGAUGAUGCAGCAGGCGGAAAGCACAGUGGCAUUGUUGACGGUGUAGUCUACUUCACGUGCCGUCCAAACCAUGGCAUUUUUGUGCCGGAGUCAAAAGUGAAACUGCAUGUUCAGCAAUCAGUGCCAACACUACCUGAAUUACCUUCGCCAGCCCAGACAGAAAAUGAACCGCCAGCAGUUAGGCCGAAAAGUGCAUCACUUCUGUCACGCCUCCCAAAGCUUGGGUUCUCGGGUAGAGCGUCAAAAUCAAGGCACAGAGAAAUAGAUACAACAGAGGAAGUCGACGAUGCUGGUGGUUAUGUGACAGUUUGCAGUACUGAGGUAGUGUCAUAUUCAGCAGAGCGUGACGCACCCCUGUGGAAAGAUGCUACCGUGUAUGGUUCUCCAGACAGUGACUCUGAUGACUAUGAUCGCCGAGACCCAUCACUACGAGAUCAUGUAAGUCCAGAGGUUCUCCAGGAACUUCGUUCUGCACUGAUGAGCGAACUGCCACCUCAGCAACCAGCUCCUGAACCAAGUGCUGCACUAAAAAACACACUUUCCCCCAUCCAUGAGAAUUCUGACGAAGUUGAAAGCAGGUGUGCAAAGAAAAUACUUUCACAGAGUCCUGAAGGAGCUGUUGGUGGAGUAGACUUCCUGUCCCCAAUCGCCGAAAUCAUGGAUGAGAUCGAUGAUGGUUCGAAGCAAGAGAGCCUUGGAUUACUAACGGAUGGCGCUAUGAGAGAUAUUGCUGUCUCUGUCGAUGGACAGUCGUACCAGGGGGUUCUCCCAAACUCGUUUUCUGUGGACGAUGUGGCUGACAUUAUGGAUGAAGAGCAGCUGGAUGAGGUGGAGGAAGAGCCCUGUGCUGCAUCCACAGCGUUCAAGCCUAGCGACCCUCUCACUGAUGACAACAUUCCAAUGAUAAGUAGUAAUGUGUUGCGAAUAUUGCAGUAUAACUUCCCCGACCAAGUAGACUACCUUAACACUGUUAUGGCUCGCAGUGGUGCGAUCAUAACAAACGAGCCAUCACCGUGUAGUCACACUAUGUCUGAGACACCCUCCUCGGCAACUGACGAAUCUGGCUUGAAAAGGACGUCCGACAGUCUCGAAUGCUCAUCGGGAUUUGCGACCAGCAUCGGUUCUGUGGAGUGCGAGCUUCCGAGUGCUGCCGAUGCACUGACCGCAGUCAACCUGAGCAGCCUGCAGGGAGAGGACGGUACCAGGCCCAAGCGACCCACGUCGGCCUACACUGUUCACAGCACGGACACUGGCUUCCAGGGUGACUCUGAGAUGGAGAACCAGAGUGAAGCCGGGACAGCAGUGAGCCCGUGCGAAGAGAAGAUGAUGCGGUGGUCCACCUGCAGCAGCCAAGAUAGUGGCGCCGUCUCUGAGUCGGAGUUUCAGAGACGAAAUCUCCAUCCGGACUGCUGCCUGGACUGUGGCCGCACCUCCUCGCCCGCCGGGAAGCACCUUCCGCCCCUCCGCCUGCAGGUACCAGUGUCCAAGGAUCCCAUGUCGGCCGUGAAAAAAGAUGAAGCGGACGCAGAUCAGGAACAGUCCGCUAACGAAGUGGAAGUUGAUCGGGGAGAUGGCGCUGGAAAGCGAGAGGCCUGCGAGGAGGGCAGUAGUCCGGAUGCACGGCCUGCUGAGGCUAGUGCAACUCAAAACAGGGCAUCUGAGCCCGAAACUGAAGACGUCAAUCAUGUUGGCGCAGAAAAUGUGGUGGCUGAAUCUGACAAUACUAAGGUUGCCGCGGCAGUGGGCAAAGUUGAGAAGACGACAUCGAAAAGGCUCCCUGUUUCCUUCCCGAGGCCAGCACCCAAGGUAGUUGUCUCUAAAGUGAAGGCAAUGAUUGAAGCAGGCAAAGCGGAGAAUGAGGAGGUGGCAAAGAAAAUUGUUAGGCAACCGAAGAAAGGUCGGUGGGAUGACGUCACAUCGAAAUUGGCUGCGAGCAUGGCUGAUGAAAAGGCAAAGCCAAAGGUGAAAGAGGUAAAGAGCAAGGUGUUCACCAACCUGGAAGGUGCGAAGCAGCAGGUCACCCGGCCCACUGCUCUGCCACCAACUCUUCGCAAACCAAUGCGCAGCACAUCCUCCAGGGGCAGCAUCCGAACUGAGGCUGAUGCAUUGACACCGACGAGUGAACGGCACCAUGAAUCGCCGGGCGGGGAUUCGUCAAAGGACGACACUGCUGAAAGUACCACAACAGCACAUGACGGCUCCAUCAUGAAAGGUGGUGAUGCAGCAUCAGUUCACUCUUCCGGCAAAGGAGCUGCAUCGGUCAAGUCUGCCCUCUCAGAGCGCAAGACCAAGCCCGCUCCUAAAGCGGCCAGACUACCCACGGCCAUGGAAUACAAGGCCACCCACGAAAGAUGCAAAGAAAGGCGCGGCAGGAGCAACGACAAGGGUGAACUCCCAAAGUCCCGGCUCAGGUCCUCCCAGCAAGGUCGGAGAGACGCGAAUCCAGGCCCAGACCAAAGCCGAAUUCACCAAGGAGAUCCAGCGACUGGGUGCGCUGUGCGAGUCCAGAACCAAGGAGCUCACCAUGCUCAAGUUGCAGCUCAGGCAUGCCUCGGCCGGAUUCGCCUCUUUCGCCGUCGUCGUCCAACACCUCAAUGCGCAGGUGUUGCAGAACAACUCAUUUCGUAUUCCAAAGCUGUCCGAGGAAUUGCGGAAAUCGCAAGAAGAGAUUGAGAAGGCUCGCAUUGCUAUUGAGGAGUACAAAAACAAGAUAGAGGAGCUCAAGCAGAGCCAUGAAAAGGAAAUAAUCUCAUUGAGAAAAGAGUUGGAAGCGUCACACAAAAAGAGGACGAAAGAGUUGGAGGAAGCCCAUCAGAAUGAACUGACUGGGUACUUGGAGGCUCACACACGGAAGCUUGAAGAAAUGAAGGCAUUUUACACGGAUGCACUCGAUAACAGCCGCAAAAACAGUGAUGAAACCUUGGACGCUAUGAAACAGAGGCACAGGGAAAAAAUUGAUGCGAUCAAUGAGGAGUAUUCAUUGCAACUGGACUCCAUCAAUGAGGACCACCAGGCACAGCAAAAAGAGCUUCAGCAGAGGUACGAAGCCCUUCAACAACAACACAAGCAAUUGCACCAACAGGCCAGGGAGUUCCAGGAGUCCGUACUCUCAGACACAGACGCCAAGAUCCAG